AUCAGGAUGGCCGAGCUGUCAAAGGUGCGGCGUUCAGGUCAUGAUUCUGAGGGCGUGGGUUCGAAUCCCACUUCUGACA